GCAUUUGUUUUCCCCCUCCUCCGAUCCCUCCCCCGGGAUUUAAAAAAUUAGGGUUUGAGACGUGGACGAAGAUCCACCGCUCCUCGCCAUUUUUUUAAUCCUCGGAGAAACCCUAACUCUCUCAGAUGUUUUGGUUCCCCACCCCCACCCUCUCCCCACUCCUCUAUAUAUCCCUCUCUCGAGCGGAUCCCUCACCUUCGUCUUCGUCGUCCUCGUGCCUCUAGUUUCUAGUCGUGAGUGCAUUAUGAAUCUCUUUGCGUCCAUGUUUAGGUGAGAUAGAGAGAGUUGGAGGGGGCGAUCGCUUUGAGCGGGGAUCCGGAGGAUAUGGUUUUUGCAUGCGGCGGCAGCAACCUCGAGGCAGCGACUGCCCAUCUUGCAAGAUUUUCAGUGAUCAUAUGUCUGAAGCCUUGACAUGUGUUAGCCCAACAUGCUAUGUCAUUUUGGUAGAAUACUUACAGAUGACAUGGGUGUGGUGAUUAUCAUACCGAUGAUUCUCUUGCAAGUUGUGCAGUUGCUGCCUCAAGUUUGCUGCCUCCCUUUGCCAGAACUGUGAGUGACAUGAACAAAAACUUUGUCAUGCUAUCAAUGAAGUUGCAAAAUACUAGCUUGUUAAACAUUAAUAAAAUAUAUUCUCAGCUCAAAAGAGCAACAUCAAUUCCAUAAUUAAAUUGGAUGUCUAAUAUGUCAGUAGUAGGGACAAAUGAAAUUGCCUGAUGUUUGAUAUGAAUAUAUAGGAAUUCUAUUUCUUUGCUUUCACUAUUAUAUAAGCAUGCGUGGGAUUGCUACAGUUCCAAUAUAUACAUGACAAAUAUAUACAUGAAAAUCCUACUGCCAAACCACACAGCGCAAGAAAAGUCGCAUGGAAUUUACGAUUGUUAAAAAUACUGUUUCAAGCAGGUAAUAUGGGAUGUAGCUGCUUAGACUUUGUGAUUGGUUGAUAACUUGGUAGCCAGUUAUUUACUUUUUCUACUAGGUAUUUCUUCUUAAGUCUUUGAUUGCUUAGAUUAGAAUAAGUGAUCUAAUGCCUAUUGUUUUUGGUACUCACAAACCUGAGAUCUAUGGAGGCAUGCCUUGUGCUGAGGUACUGGUAAGCUAAUUAAAAUGUUUCCAUUUGGUUACACAUAUAAUUUGGUAGUCAAUUAUCUUUUUAUGCAUGAAACUAUUCUGCUGUCUAUGUGAUUCUGCAGUUGGGCUGUAUUUGUUCUUCGGUUGGUCUGGUUAUGCCUAUUUCUUCACUCACUGUAACUACUUUUGAAAGUUGCAUUAUCUAAUUUCACCGACCCAAAUGCAGCUUCUCAAGUUAGUUUGGAAUGUAAUAUAUAAUUGUAACUAGAACCCUUCCCUAUUAUCGAAAUAAGUGAAUAUAUCAGUUGGGGUGAUGUUGCAAGUAUUUGAACAGUACAAGAUGACCUUUGUGCAUCAAGCUAUGACAGUAAGUAUGAUCGGCUACUCUUCACUUGCUGUAUAUGCCAGGUUCGUGCUUAGGUUUAUGUCAUGGUUCUUCAUCCAUUUCGCAUUCCAUUGAGUAAACAGUGGAAACAGGAAAUGUGAUAGUAAAAUAUCAUUGAAUUCUUUGUAACUCCUAGUUCAAUUUGAUCUUUACCAUUUGAUGUGUGAAAAAGUACACAAUCUGUCCGUAACUGUUGGAGAAAUAUUUCUGAUUGUUUGAUGUGUUUUUUGUAACAAAUGAUGUAUGAUUUCUUUCAUGUAAGAUAUACUACGAGUACAAGUAUUGGAGAUGCUCAAGUUUUGAAACAAGCAAAUGAUUAUAUUAUGAGAUAAAAAAGUUCUCCCUGUACUCCAUUGUUACUUCUGCUUAUUAAGGUCAGGACAACAGAUUUAGUUACAGAGAACAGAGAAAGCAUCCAGAAUAGUACAAGGUGUUAUGUUAGUUGAUAAAUACCAAGUUUCUACCGAAGCUCAAAGUGCCUCUCUGCUAGCAAAACUCGGUGGAAAAAGAAAAAUGAAAAUUCACUAAAGUCCUGUUGAUGCAUCUGUCGAUGGCACUGAAUCACCUCAGGAUCCAAGAUCUAUUUGAUAUCAAUUCAUGUAUCAUACAAGAGGUGACAUAUGAGGAAAAUUAUCUUAAACUGGUACAGCUGUUUGACCUACAGCGCGAGGAUGCCCCUGACGAAGAGGUGCUGGAUGAGGGAACUGAAUUGAAUUUUCAGGCAGACUCAGGUGGCGACAACUUGACGAAGGGCUUCAACAAAGAGGUUAAGAUGAUUAUAAUAGUUGAUUACGACAUCAAGACAUAGAAUAGUAUGAGAGUUUCAAGUUUUGCAGAGCGUAUUUUACAUGACUUGAAUUCUCUGCUUUGUGGUUUCACAAAUUUAGAACGUAGGAUUUCUUUUUUUUUUUCCCCCUCAUUUUCUCGUAGAAUUUUUUCAAUAGAAUUGAGCCACUAUACUAUAGAUAGUAUAUGAAUAGUGCUUACUAUAGAUUUUGUAGCCUUUGGAUACAAUCACUAAAUAGUGAACCCAGGCAUUGCUCGUCUAUUAUCUAUAGUACAGUAGCUCAGUUUCUUUUAAUAUUGUGUAAUAGUCUUUCAAAACUUGUUUUUUACAUAGCUUACUUCGAAGUUCAAACUAGAAGUUUGAAACCUUCAAUUUUCAUUGGCUUAGUUUUGGAAUGUAUUAUUCAGGUGAACCUAAUUUGAUGUUUCAAAGGUUUAAAUAAUUUUAAAUUUGAAAGUUUUUUGGAUUUUUUGAA